AGUCACCGUGGCUUUGAAACGCUUUCCUUGAUAAAAUUUAAGCGUUUUAUAAGAGGAUGCCCGGGAAGGUUUUCCGGUUUAUCCCGGAGGGCUUGUAGCUCAGUUGGUUAGAGCGCGCGCUUGAUAAGCGUGAGGUCGGAGGUUCAAGUCCUCCCAGGCCCACCAGUUUAUCCAUUACUUUCAUAAGUGCUUUUAAAAAAUAAGUACUUCUAAAAAGAUUGCUUCUAAAAAGCUUAUCAAAAUUGGCAGGCUUAUUGCUUUUGUGUGAGUAAUCCAAAGUUAAAGCAAAUUAAUGGCAAAAAAACAGUUCAAAUGCUAAAUACUAAGGAGUCAAAAUUCCUUGCAAAGUGAUUUUUACAGCGUCCAUUUGGUUGAUAUAAAUUCCAAAUGCUCAUAGACGUCAAUGCCUAUAUGAAACUAUCGGUUCAAUCAUAUCGCUUUGAGUUAUAUAGAUUUUGUAAUCCCUCUUUUGAUCGUUUUAAACGCUUUAUCCUGAUUUAGGGGCCGUAGCUCAGCUGGGAGAGCACCUGCUUUGCAAGCA
rnacentral:misc_RNA from 1 species